CGAACGUGGGGGAACCCUGCCCCAUAGUCUGGGAUACCACUUGGAAACAGGUGCUAAUACCGGAUAAGAAAGCAGAUCGCAUGAUCAGCUUUUAAAAGGCGGCGUAAGCUGUCGCUAUGGGAUGGCCCCGCGGUGCAUUAGCUAGUUGGUAAGGUAAAGGCUUACCAAGGCGAUGAUGCAUAGCCGAGUUGAGAGACUGAUCGGCCACAUUGGGACUGAGACACGGCCCAAACUCCUACGGGAGGCAGCAAGUC
rnacentral:rRNA from 1 species